GACGAACCGUGCGAACGUUGUUCGGAUUCACUGGGCUUAAAGGGCGCGUAGGCGGGUUCUCAAGUCGGGGGUGAAAGCCCACAGCUCAACUGUGGAAGUGCCUCCGAUACUGGGAAUCUUGAGGGAGGUAGGGGUGCGUGGAACUUCCGGUGGAGCGGUGAAAUGCGUAGAUAUCGAUAGGAACUCCGGUGGCGAAGGCGGCAUACUGGGACCACAUCUGACGCUGAGAAGCGAAAGCAUGGGGAGCGAACAGG
rnacentral:rRNA from 1 species